rnacentral:tRNA from 1 species
GGAGAGGUGCCGGAGUGGUCGAACGGAGCUUCCUGCUAAGAAGUUGACCCUUUACUGGGUCCGAGGGUUCGAAUCCCUCCCUCUCCGCCA